rnacentral:rRNA from 1 species
AUGUCUGGAACUUGGCAGAGAUGCCUUGUGCUUCGGAGCCAGAACACAGGUGCUGCAUGGCUGUCGUCAGCUCGUGUCGUGAGAUGUUGGGUUAAGUCCCGCAACGAGCGCAACCCUUACCAUUAGUUGCCAUCAUUUAGUUGGGCACUCUAAUGGGACUGCCGGUGACAAACCGGAGGAAGGUGGGGAUGACGUCAAGUCCUCAUGGCCCUUAUGGGUAGGGCUUCACACGUCAUACAAUGGUCGGUACAGAGGGUUGCCAAGCCGCGAGGUGGAGCUAAUCUCAGAAAGCCGAUCGUAGUCCGGAUCGCAGUCUGCAACUCGACUGCGUGAAGUCGGAAUCGCUAGUAAUCGUGGAUCAGAAUGUCACGGUGAAUACGUUCCCGGGUCUU